GGUUCUGGCUAGGCUACUUAGGUGAUGCCAGUGGUCACAAGUGCUGCUUUGCCUGUGAGGAAGUGAAGGAUUUUCUGUUUAUUGCAUCACCCUGUGCUUGGUGGCCAUGACCUGCUCCUGGCUGUGCCCAGGGAGAUGCUAAAGACCUGCAGUGGCAAUAGGACCCCUAGUUGCUGGGGCUGGUGUAGCGUUGGAACAGGUCACCAAAGAAGUGUUUGUGGGGGUCCACAUGCUUAAGGAUCUCCACAACUCAAGUGACUUGUUCCAGUGUUUGUGAUAGCCCUGCAGAGAGCAGGAGGCUGGACCAAAGCCCUCCAGAAGUCCUUUCCAGCCUGUAUUUUCAUUGUUGUCUGGAAGGACAGUGAUUUAGCAGUGCUCAUGGCAUCAUGCUGCAGGACAGCCCAGUUUUGAGAACUAAGAGGUUUCUGUGAGUGAUGGCCCUGUAUCAUGUCUUCAGUCGCUACUUCCCUGUACCAAACCUCUCAUCCUCUGCAUCCUUGUGCUCUCAGCCUGACCCUGCCCUCAUUGUGCUUAAAGGUGCUUUUGGGGCCAAGGCCACCCCUUGUGUGACUCAGAUUGUUGACUUUAGCAACACGUGCUCUUUGCUGUAUAUAGCACUGUUAACUCUGUCAUCUGCUUGUCUUACCAGGAAAGAUUUUUCUAGCCACUUAGUUAUUGGUUGAAGAUCAAAAUUAUACAAUACCAGGAACUGAUCCCUUGGAGCAGCUCAUAACAACCAAAUAGCAUCUUUAAUUUUUUCCCGCACUUCAAAUUUGGUGCAAGAAUCUGUUUGCAUGCAAUGUUUUUCCUCAGAAUGUUAGGUGGCAUUAAAAACCUGGAGGAAAAUGGAUUAUAAGGCAUCAGACCAACUUGUCAGGCAGGUCUGCAAACCUUCCAAAAAAACAAAUCCAGGAAUGACAGCUGGUUUACACAUCUCUCUGGGUGGCAGAGUGUGAUAAUGUUGGGACACCAUUUUGUAGAUUUAGACUUGUCUGUUUGGCUGUGGGGAGAAAUUGGUGGCACCUGGAUGUUCUUGCCCUGUCUCAUGGGGCUGUAUGAGGGUCACAGCCCCUGUGGUGUAGGGCCUCUGGGAAUUGGGCCCUGAAUGAGAGCCUCCUGCAGUACAGUUUGUCCCCUCUGUGUCAGCUCCAGUGCUCCAUGGAAUAAACUGCGUGAGCACGGCCCCGAUGUCGAUGUAACAUGAUGAAUUAUGUAAUGCUGUGUCACAAUUACAUGUUUAUGAAAGGGAAGUAGGGCAGGGAGCUGCUGGAGAAAGCAAGUGCUCCUGGGUCAGCAGCCCUAUGGCCCUGCUGCUGGCUGAGCUGUGAUUGCUGCAGGCUGCCUCUGCGUGUGCCCAGAAUGCCAGAGUUCCCUGCAGUACCUGUGGGUGCCUUUAAGGCUUAUGUGUUCCUUAGAGGUGGUAGAAGAAGGUGGCAGAGAGCUGGUGGGUGAUUGCUGUGGGCAGCAUCAGCCACUGGACGGUGUAUGGGUCAGGUCAGACUUUCUGCAUCCUCCAGCUGCAAAGCUUCUCCUGGUGGUUUCUAUAGGAGUGCACCAAGCACUUGUAUCCCAUCACUCUCACUGUGCCAGGAGAAGAGUAAAGAUUCAUGAUUUCUGCAGACUGUCAGCAGUGUGCAAAAGAGGUGUAGGGGAUGAAGCAAAUUGACUGGUUUGGGCAAUUCAGAGCCUGCAGGAAGAGCCAGGGAAGGCUGUGCUUUAUCUCUGCUGCUCCUCCAAGCAGAAAUGGAAAAAACAGGAGGAGGAGGGAGAGGAGGUGGAGAGUGAGAGGGGAGAGAGUGAGAGAUCUGGUACAGAAUGAGCAGUGCUGUUGGAGCAAGCUUAAGCUUCUGGAGCGAAACAGUGCUUGGGAGUGGUGCAGAACUGGAAGUGGCUCUUGAAUCUUUCUGUUAUAUUGUACAGUAAAUGGUUGGGAUACCUUUUUGUCCCCUUUAAUAGUGAGGAAGGAGCUGUCUGGCUGGCUAAGGCUGUCCUGCUGCAGGGGUUGCUGCAGUAGCAGUGCCAUGGUCCCCACAGGCAGUAGCAUCCCCCCCACUGCUCCAGGACAGGUGCCUGGGGCAAACGCUGCAGGAAGCACACUGCACAGAACUGAGAUACCAGAGAUAGAAACAAGUACCUGUGCUGGGAGAAACUGGGGAGCUGGUGUUCUUUCCCAGCAGCACUGGGUUGUGCUCGCAGUCCUGAGGCCGGAGGAGCAGGGCUGACCACAGUGUGUUACACACAUCGCAUACCUGCCACAGCCUUUCACACAGCUGGGAGGAGGAAGUCCUGCCCAAGCUCACUGGACACUCAGGGAAUUGCCCAGAGCCCAGCAGACAGAACAUGUUUCCAUUUUGCAGAGGUGCACUGGG